rnacentral:tRNA from 1 species
GCGAAGGUGGUGGAAUUGGUAGACACGCUGGAUUAAGAUUCCAGUGCCGCAAGGUGUGAGGGUUCAAGUCCCUCUCUUCGUACCA